UACAGAGGUCCCAAGCGUUGUUCGGAUUCAUUGGGCGUAAAGGGUGUGUAGGUGGCGCCGUAAGUCGGGUGUGAAAUCUCGGGGCUUAACUCCGAAACUGCAUUCGAUACUGCGGUGCUUGAGGACUGGAGAGGAGACUGGAAUUCAUGGUGUAGCAGUGAAAUGCGUAGAGAUCAUGAGGAAGACCAGUGGCGAAGGCGGGUCUCUGGACAGUUCCUGACGCUGAGGAGCGAAAGCGUGGGGAGCGAACAGG
rnacentral:rRNA from 1 species